rnacentral:rRNA from 1 species
GUAGGGAAUAUUGCGCAAUGGAGGCAACUCUGACGCAGCCAUGCCGCGUGCAGGAAGAAGGCGCUACGCGUUGUAAACUGCUUUUAACCGGGAAGAAACCCCAGGACGUGUCCUGGGUUGACGGUACCGGAGGAAUAAGCACCGGCUAACUUCGUGCCAGCAGCCGCGGUAAUACGAAGGGUGCAAGCGUUAUCCGGAUUCAUUGGGUUUAAAGGGUGCGUAGGCGGAGCGUUAAGUCAGUGGUGAAAUCCUGCAGCUUAACUGUAGACUUGCCAUUGAUACUGGCGCUCUUGAGUGCGCUUGAAGUGGGCGGAAUGUGCCGUGUAGCGGUGAAAUGCUUAGAUAUGGCACAGAACACCAAUUGCGAAGGCAGCUCACUAAGGCGAUACUGACGCUGAGGCACGAAAGCGUGGGGAUCGAACAGGAUUAGAAACCCUUGUAGUCC